rnacentral:lncRNA from 1 species
AUCUUAAUGCUCAAGAUGACUUGGAGUUUAACUGUCAACCCCGGAAUAGUCAACCAUAUUGUGUUUCAACCUUUAAAAUUCAUCAUAUAGAUUAUCCUGACCAAAGUUUUACUGAAUUGAUGCAUUAACUCUUAUUUAUUCAGAGGGAUCAAUUCUAUCUUGACUCACAUAUCGACUUCAUAAGUACUUGACUAUAUCCAAAAAAUUUCCAUCACUGAAUUAGAAAUUCAGAUAGUCCGACACUAAAGCAUAGUGAGUUGCUUGUAAGUCACCCUGGUGAUCU